AGACUAAAUUAUUCUGGUUCAAAAUGGGCUGUUUUUUGAGAUUUCAGUGGAGAGGAAAAAAAGUGUUUAAGUAUUUUCAAGAGAGGUAACCUCGCUCGGUGAGCCCCGCCCGCGAUCCACGCUCUCUGGGAGCUAGGAGGGGCGCAGGAGCCGGGGUCUCUGCCCUGCCCGCCUGGCUUCCAGAUGUGGUGCAGCGCCAGCGCGCGGGGACACAGUGUCCGCCAGGAGAAGGAAGGGCCGCCCUGCACCACACCAGGCCAGCCUCUGGUGUUAAUGAGAGCCUAUAUUUGGAAGUGGCAUCUGGAGAGGUUUGCCUUGCACAAAGACCAAAUAAUUACCUCUUGGCUUUUGAAAAAGGAAGGGGGAAGCGGGAAGACAAAGGCGCCUGUGAGCGCGGAGGACGCUCUCCUGGGACUCUGGCCUGGAGCGGGACUGCAGCCUUGCGUGCGGCGAGGGCGCUGCGCUACUCAGGGCUUCCGCGAAGCCAGGGGCAGCGCGGCCGCGUGCAAAUUAAGUACUCAUGUCACCGUGUUAGCUAUGGUGGCUUGAAAGAAAUGCUUUGUAGCCCUCUAAAGGCAGGCUGAUCGGAAGAACUGGAAGAUUGCAAAGAUAAAAAGGAACUCUGGCAGAGAAGGGGGGCAAGAGGUAACUGUCAUUUGGAACCACCGGACAUUCUCUCACACUUUUGACAAGAGAUCUUAUCUUUUCAUGUAUUACAGUGCAUCUUUUUUUUUAUGGGAAAAAGGGUUGUAUGGGUCUUUAGAG
rnacentral:lncRNA from 1 species